rnacentral:rRNA from 1 species
GUUUGCCUACGGGGGGCAGCAGUGGGGAAUAUUGGACAAUGGGGGAAACCCUGAUCCAGCGACGCCGCGUGAGUGAAGAAGUAUUUCGGUAUGUAAAGCUCUAUCAGCAGGGAAGAAAGAAAUGACGGUACCUGACUAAGAAGCCCCGGCUAACUACGUGCCAGCAGCCGCGGUAAUACGUAUGGAGCAAGCGUUAUCCGGAUUUACUGGGUGUAAAGGGAGCGCAGACGGCAAGGCAAGUCUGAUGUGAAAGUCCG